rnacentral:lncRNA from 1 species
AGAUCGAUUUUUAGGAUAUUUUUCAAAAGUUAGAUUUUGGGUAGAAUCUAAAAAAGAUUGUUCUCUCUCACUUGGCCACCAAAACCUAGCAACAACUAGCUAACUCUAGUUUCUUGGGUUUAGAGAAUCUAGCUUCUGUAUUUGAAAAUCUGAGAUCAAAAUCUAAAAUCUAGUGUGUUUGGAUCCCACUACCCGGUUUCUGAAAGUUGGAUUCUCA